ensembl:lncRNA
CCUUUACAGAAAUACAAAAACAGACUUUCUCUUAUUUAAAAUAAAAAUAAAAAAUAGAAGUCAAUAUUUUGAUUCCUUAAUCAAAGUUCCCUAAUUUAAACUAAAACUCCUUCCCUUUCAACAAGGUACUUGAAAAUCCGAAAUUGCAAUUCAAUCAAACCCCGAUCUUGACAAGUAAAUAAGCAGGUGGCAACCCAAGGGAUUUAUGAUGAGUACGUAUUUGACAUUCUGGAUUCAUGGAAUGAAGAUCUCAAUUAUUAUAGUGAAUAAACACUGAGGAGACUGACUCUGCCUAAUUAAGGAGUCUGUUGGAGAAAAAAACUAAAAUUGACAUCCUCAGUGUUUUGUCUCUCUCAGUAGAGUCUAAUCAACAUAAACUGCUCAAACGCAAGUAAACAGCUGCAAGAAUAUUACAGCAGUUGAUUCAAAACUAACGAGGGAACAUUCCUGAAUGGAAAUGUGUACAAUUUGAACUUUGAAUUAGUUGUUGGACUCUGUUGACACACAGUAAGAGGCGAGACAGGGACUAAUGACUGCAUGGGAAUGACGGUACAUUGCAGAGUAAAGCUCAAGUAAGCAGAAGGAGAACAGCACAACAGAGAGCCUGAGACAGACAGCCAGAAUGAAAGAUGUAAAGUUGAUUUCUGUGCAGGAGGACUGAUUUAUACUUCUUAACCUUAGCGUUAACUACAGAAGGGUUGCCUGUGUGUGACCGGCUCAGGUUUUUCAACAUGAUUUUCAUAGUGAUUUUUCGUUUCAGUUGCCAAGAGGUUCUCAAGUGGCCAAGGACCAUGUGUGCACGUUGAUACUUGGAGAGCUACGGCACCUUCACGCUAGAUAUGCCACAUGAAACGAUGGUAUAUUUUGGGUCUCAAGUACAUUUUCUUUUUAAUCACCUCAAAACUACACUAAACUAAGAAUGAUAUCAAAAGAAAGUAGUCCUGCGUCAUUGGAUUUCUGUCACACCUCAUCUAUCCACGUGAGAAGAGACAGUUUGUUGCGGCGGUAUGAAGACCAAUGAAUAUUCAUGCUGUUUUUUCAUAAGGAUACAUCUUACACAGGAGUUUGAAAGUGGAUUUUAGCAGGAGAUUAUAUCUUGAAACCGACCCGUUUCAGGGCCGGGAGUUAGCGCUGUAAACUCACGGCUAAAUCUCAAAGGACAGAGAGAUAAUUCAUUUCAGAUGACCUGUUUGGUUUACAUCUGUGCGCAGACGACAGGGCUGUACUUUAGGGGAGGGUUGGAAGACACCGAUUGAAACCCCCCCGGGGAAUACACAUCUGUAUGACACUGCCUGCAUCAAUUUGACUGAGAAAUAUACCUCAAUGGUAUGAGUCAUGGGCCAACAGACAUUCAUGCACUCGGUUGGAGAUAUACCCCACACCCACACACACACACACACACACACACACACACACACACACACACACACACACACACACACACACACACACACACACGACCUACAAUAAAAUAAUAUGCAUCAAUAUGACUGUCUACACCCACACAAACGCACACAAAGCUCAACACCCAUAGCACACAAGCUCGCCCUUGCUUACAUACAACUCCAUGUAGUCACACACAGAUACACUUGCGCAUAGGAGGCAGACUGUGAAGCCCCACAGGAAUAAAGCUACAGGCCAAAUGUGUUUAGCGACUCCUUUUACGCAGACGCCUUUCCACGUCAUAUGGCGGCUAAUGCGGUCUAAUUAAGACCGUGCGGCACAGACACAUUUUGAGGGCUGACACACAACUAGAGGGCAAAAUGUCCCUUUGCUCAGAGCGCAGAGAGAUGAUGAGGGGACUCGGGGAAAUGGAUGCAGAGCAGCUAGGAAUAUGUUGUCGAUGCAAAUCAGCAGUGAAAGUAGGCAUAAGUGUGCAGGAGAGAGCACAGUAUGUGAAGUGGCUGCUCCACAUAGAGGAGUUAAAUGCAGUCUAGCCAAGCGCUCUUUGCUUUGUAUGAAGCCAAUAACACAGCGCUGUCGUCUUGCUGCUCAGCAGACUUGGUUUCUGACUUUAUUUAUCCGAUCAACCAAAACUUAAUUGUAUAUUUUGCUUGUUGCAUUAGCCGAUGUGAAGAUUCUACACUGAAGAUUACAUUACUCAGCUGAAAACCGACACGGUGAAAACCUAUCUUUGAGUUGAGUGUAGCCCACUUGAGGGCUUUAGCCUCAGAUUGCGAAGCAUACCACUCUCCUUUUCAAAUUAUUCAUGAAGAAUAUAACGCAGUGCUGUUUGAGGUUAUGCAAGUGCACACAAUAAACCUGGGUGAUACUGCUCCAAUCUCUCCUUCAUACACAAAAGCCUCUCGUCGGUGCUGGCAACACGUUGAGGAUACCCGUCGAGGUAUUCGUGACCUUCUUUGUCAUCUAGAUGGGAGUACCAGACCGAUCGUAGGGUUUAUUUUAAAACAUGCGUCACAGUGUUUCAGAGAGGUAGCUCCAGAACAUCUAAACUGCCUCUUCAUAUUUCCCCUUAAAGCCUGUCCUCCGCUCCUGCCUGAGUGGAGAACCUUAGAUUAGAUCUAAAAAAUGAAUUCAUAUUUUUGAAAUACACAGCAACUGGCUUCCUAAACACCUCAAAUAAACUGCUUUGUUGAAUUUAUGAAGGUAUUGUGUAGAGAUACACUACAGUCAUACCUGCAUCCAUGUUAUUCCUAAAUUAAAACCAGAUGAGAAAGAGCCCAAAUAAAGUUUGCAUGAAUCACACAGCUGGCGGAUAUUUGAUGAACCUUUCAACCAAUACACCUUUACUCUUACUGUGGUGGCUAAAGUUCCCUUCUUACGUUCGGCAGUUGCUUCUUCCAGUUCCUCAUUCAUUUAACCACUCCAAAACGGAAAGAACAAGUCUACGCGUGUUUAAUGUGUUGAACAACGGUAGAAAACAGUGUGUUCCGUUCGCUUUACUGAAAGAUCUGCCCAGUCACAAUUACACAGCGUUUUCUCGCUUCGUCAAAGCACGGGUGCCUUACGUCAUAAGUCAGUGCGCUUACUCCCGUCACUCCUGUAUCAAGCAAAACACGUACACUAAACAUGUAUUAACUAACAUGCAAAUUACAGGUACAAUUAUGUAAUCAUAGCGUAAUCAUACUUAUGAUAUGAUAAAUCAUCAUCAAACAUGAAUCAAAACAAUAUCAAUCUAAAUCUAAAUUACGACAUGGAAAAUGGCACUAACACUUACUCUGCAGCUAUUAGCUCAUCUGCUACAUCCCCAUCCCAAUCCCUCCUCACCUGCAGCUCUUUGCCCUCAUUUCAAAGAGGGAAAGAGCGCUCAUGUGCCGAGCAGCAUUUCCUUGAAUUAACAGCAGGAUUU